rnacentral:rRNA from 1 species
GGGCCCGCACAAGCGGUGGAGUAUGUGGUUUAAUUCGAUGCAACGCGAAGAACCUUACCAGGGUUUGACAUCCUGCGAAUCUCUUGGAAACAGGAGAGUGCCUUCGGGAACGCAGUGACAGGUGGUGCAUGGCUGUCGUCAGCUCGUGUCGUGAGAUGUUGGGUUAAGUCCCGCAACGAGCGCAACCCACGUCUUUAGUUGCCAGCAGUUCGGCUGGGCACUCUAGAGAAACUGCCUGGGAUGACCAGGAGGAAGGUGGGGACGACGUCAAGUCCUCAUGGCCCUUACGGGAUGGGCUACACACGUGCUACAAUGGCAGUGACAAUGGGUUAAUCCCCAAAAGCUGUCUCAGUUCGGAUUGAGGUCUGAAACUCGACCUCAUGAAGUCGGAAUCGCUAGUAAUCG